AGAAAAAGCUUUGUUGUGAUGUGCAUAAGCAAGGUCCCUGCUGUUGCCCAUCUGGUUGGUGCUGCUGAUUAUGUCUGUACCUAUGGGCUCUGUGUGCCUGCUUUUUCCUCUGCCUAAAACACUGUCCUAUGCCUUCUCUGGCUCUCCAGUCUAGAAUAGACACUCAUUUUAUGUUUUCCUUUUUUUUUUUAACUUUCUAAACCUUGUUAACACUGUAAUAAAAUCUUCCCAAGGCCAGGGCAUGCAUGUAGAGUUCUCAAUUCUAACUCCAGGGCCUAAGAAAGUGCUUGAUAUGUGGAGGGCUCUCAAUAAAUAGUUCUUGAGUGACUUUUGGUACUGCUUCCUUAAUUGGGCUGGGAGAAGAGCAACUGUCUUUUAUGAAAGGGGAGGAAAUUUAUUUUCUGUUGUUACAGCAAGGAAGUUACAGGUAGGAAGACCUCAAAGUUGUACAAGGCAGAACUAGCUGCCUAUAUAAGGAGGACUGACAUGUGUACCAUAAACUAAAGGAGAACAUCAUCAAUUGGAAGAACUGUACAAGGUGCCUUGCCCAAUGAGCAGUGGAUCCCAUCCCCCAGGAUUUUCAAACAGCAUCUGUAGACACCCCAAUCAGAGAUCCAGUACUAGGUGGAGCCCCUCAUUCCAGGUGGUGCCUAAGCCAAUAUGAAGUCAUCAUGUCGGCUUCAAUCCAGGCUGCCCAAGGUCCUAGGCAAGAGGGAUCAAAGGGACAAACACCAAGUGUGAAGAUGAAAGUUGACCUGGAAACCCUGUGUCCCAGCAUGCUGGGAGGCCAGGCUGCCCUUUGCCCAUGGGUCAGGGAGGAAGACUCACAAAAACCCAUAGGCCAGACUGCAAGCACAUCUCUUCCUCAGCAUGACCUCUGAGCUCUCCUCUCACCCAGUGCCUUUAAGGACAGCUUUCUCUUGGCCCUCAGGCCCUCUUUGGGUUCAGGAAGCUCAAGGUCAUUGGGGGGGCCAGAAAUCAAGCAUUACCUCUGGCCUUUGAAGACCAUGGACAAGUCAUCAUCUCCUGAGCUUGGCGGACUGAAGGUGCAUCACUGUGAAACCCCUAAACUUAUCACAGGGUGGGGCACAGAGGAAGACAUCUCAGCUCCUAAUCCUCAAAGAAUAAAUUGAUAGUAGUUUGCUUUGAGGAUGAGGGAGAGGAGAACCAUAUUCAGAGGAAUCCAAGGAGGAGAGACACAACAUGACAGGCUAGGAACUGGGGAAUAUAACUGAAUUUUAAACCUGGGUCAGCAUCUGUAUCCCUUAUUGAAUCCUAAUGAUGUCCAAUGUGGUGGCCCUGGGAUUAUUCCAUGUCAUAGUGGAAUGAGACAGAUGAGGCUAAGUUUGAGUGACUUGCCUAAAGUUAUGGCUUUGGCAUAUGGCAAAGCCAGGAUGUGGACUCAGACCUGCCUACUUGACAUAGAAGCACAGUCAUAUCCAUGUUCUAGAAAUUUCCCUACUCCCUGGAGAGUACUAGAGGGGCUGGCAGUAGAGGCAGAGAGAUCAGUCAACACUCUGCUGCAGUAGUUUUAAGUAGCUAAGAUAAUCUCUCAAGUCACUGGAUCAGAUGUGCAAAACAU
rnacentral:lncRNA from 1 species